rnacentral:rRNA from 1 species
GAUGAACGCUCGCUACAGGCUUAACACAUGCAAGUCGAGGGGAAACGCCAUCGAAAGCUUGCUUUUGAUGGGCGUCGACCGGCGCACGGGUGAGUAACGCGUAUCCAACCUGCCCAUCACUUGGGAAUAACCUUGCGAAAGUAAGACUAAUACCCAAUGAUAUCCCACGAAGGCAUCGGAAUGGGAUUAAAGAUUUAUCGGUGAUGGAUGGGGAUGCGUCUGAUUAGCUUGUUGGCGGGGUAACGGCCCACCAAGGCAACGAUCAGUAGGGGUUCUGAGAGGAAGGUCCCCCACAUUGGAACUGGGACACGGUCCAAACUCCUACGGGAGGCAGCAGUGAGGAAGAUUGGUCAAUGGGCGAGAGCCUGAACCAGCCAAGUAGCGUGCAGGAAGACGGCCCUAUGGGUUGUAAACUGCUUUUAUAAGGGAAUAAAGUGGGUCACGUGUGACUUUUUGCAUGUACCUUAUGAAUAAGGACCGGCUAAUUCCGUG